rnacentral:ncRNA from 1 species
UGACAUCGGAUCAGUCGUGAUUACAUGCUGAACUUAAGCAUAUCACUAAGAGGAGGAAAAGAUACUAACCAGGAUUCCCCUAGUAACGGCGAGUGAAGAGGGAUUAGAUCAGCACCGAAGCCCGGUAAGUUAACUGCUAGGAAAUUUGGUGUUUGGGUCAACUCGCGGGAUUUCCACUCCACUCGAAGACCAGCACUGGGUAUGGUGCCCUGGAUUUGGCCCAGAGAGGGUGAAAGGUUCGUGCGAGUGGAGUUAUGGACAUGUGAGGCAAUUCACCAGGUCAACCUUCGAGUCGGAUUGUGUGGGAAUGCAGCCCAAAGUGAUUGGUAAAAUCCAUCCUAGGCUAAAUUCAAGCACGAGUCCGAUAGCGAACAAGUACCGUGAGGGAAAGUUGAAAAGUUUUUUGAAGAGAGAGAGCGAGAGAGAGUAAACAGUACUUGAAACUGCAUAUCGGUAAAGUGGCGGCCUCAAGCUGUAAACCUAGAGGAUUCAGUUGGUUGGGGUGUAUGCGCGCCUGGCACGUCUUUCGGACGGACAGUUCACUACGAAAAGGUGGGCCUGGCAGUCCCUCGGUAGGGAGAGGAUUGGCGUUCCGGGAAGUUGCCGGAGCCGACUGUUUUGGCUGUCUGCGCAUAAUGUGGAUGGAUCAGCCAAUGCACUUCCUCUAUCUGGUGAUCACCAUGACUGGUGGAACUGCCAGUCUGCCGUAGUCAAAUCGGGUUUGGUCGGUGGCUCCUCUGGGGUCGUUGGCUGAGCCUUGAUCAUCACAGGCAAAUUCAGUGAGCGGCGUGUGUCGGCAUUACAUGCACACGUGUUACCGAGCACUGGUAGUCAACGGGUCUGUCUGUCAGUUGUGCUUUUGCAGUCACCGGCGGAUGUCCUGGUGGGCUAUGGUGGUAUGAAUAACUGUGCAGGGCACCAGAGUUGUCGGUCUCUAGUUUCUGGCUCGUGCGCACACUGCAUGUGGGCGUGGGGUGUUGCUGCAGGCGGCCAAUAGCUGGGUCUGAUCGUCAUGUUGCCUGCGCAAAGUGGGUCCAGCGGUGGUCUGGUGUUGGAUGGCCUUAUCUGCGAUGCUUUCUGUACGAGUCGGCGCGGGCCAAACAGUCUGUGGUGUUGUGGUGGACGAGCUACCCGACCCGUCUUGAAACACGGACCAAG